AGUGAACGCUGGCGGUAGGCCUAACACAUGCAAGUCGAACGGCAGCACAGUAAGAGCUUGCUCUUACGGGUGGCGAGUGGCGGACGGGUGAGGAAUACAUCGGAAUCUACUUUUUCGUGGGGGAUAACGUAGGGAAACUUACGCUAAUACCGCAUACGACCUACGGGUGAAAGCAGGGGAUCUUCGGACCUUGCGCGAUUGAAUGAGCCGAUGUCGGAUUAGCUAGUUGGCGGGGUAAAGGCCCACCAAGGCGACGAUCCGUAGCUGGUCUGAGAGGAUGAUCAGCCAAAAUGGAAAUGAGAAACGGUCCAGAAUCCUAAGGGAGGGAGCAGGGGGGAAUAUUGGAAAAUGGGCGGAAGCCUGAACCAGCCAAGACGCGUGGGUGAAGAAGGCCUUCGGGUUGUAAAACCCUGUUGUUGGGGAAAAAAAGCAGCAGGUUAAAAACCCGCUGGUCUGACGGUACCCAAAGAAAAAGCAACGGCUAACUUCGUG
rnacentral:rRNA from 1 species